GAUGAAGAACGUAGCGAAAUGCGAUAAUUAAUGUGAAUUGCAGAAUUCCGUGAAUCAUCGAGUCUUUGAACGCACAUUGCGCCCCAUGGCAUUCCGUGAGGCAUGCCCAUCUCAGCGUUAGAAAAUAUUCUCAAAUUUUAGUUUUGUGCUAAAAUUUGGAUCAUGUCAAGGAAGCUAUUACUAUUAUUGUGAUCGCUCUUUGGAAAUUGAUAGGUCUUUGAGUUGCUACUCAUAGAACGUGAUGAAUCUUUCUUCGUUCUAUUGUAAUUCACUCUGGUAGUCCUAAAACUUAUAUGCCUGUGGCAUAUCUUGUAAUUUGACCUGAGAUUGGGUAGGGAUACCCGCUGAACUUAAGCAUAUCAAUAAGCGGAGGA
rnacentral:misc_RNA from 1 species